rnacentral:rRNA from 1 species
AUGAACGCUAGCUACAGGCUUAACACAUGCAAGUCGAGGGGCAGCAUGGUCUUAGCUUGCUAAGGCCGAUGGCGACCGGCGCACGGGUGAGUAACACGUAUCCAACCUGCCGUCUACUCUUGGACAGCCUUCUGAAAGGAAGAUUAAUACAAGAUGGCAUCAUGAGUCCGCAUGUUCACAUGAUUAAAGGUAUUCCGGUAGACGAUGGGGAUGCGUUCCAUUAGAUAGUAGGCGGGGUAACGGCCCACCUAGUCUUCGAUGGAUAGGGGUUCUGAGAGGAAGGUCCCCCACAUUGGAACUGAGACACGGUCCAAACUCCUACGGGAGGCAGCAGUGAGGAAUAUUGGUCAAUGGGCGAGAGCCUGAACCAGCCAAGUAGCGUGAAGGAUGACUGCCCUAUGGGUUGUAAACUUCUUUUAUAAAGGAAUAAAGUCGGGUAUGGAUACCCGUUUGCAUGUACUUUAUGAAUAAGGAUCGGCUAACUCCGUGCCAGCAGCCGCGGUAAUACGGAGGAUCCGAGCGUUAUCCGGAUUUAUUGGGUUUAAAGGGAGCGUAGAUGGAUGUUUAAGUCAAUUGUGAAAGUUUGCGGCUCAACCGUAAAAUUGCAGUUGAUACUGGAUAUCUUGAGUGCAGUUGAGGCAGGCGGAAUUCGUGGUGUAGCGGUGAAAUGCUUAGAUAUCACGAAGAACUCCGAUUGCGAAGGCAGCCUGCUAAGCUGCAACUGACAUUGAGGCUCGAAAGUGUGGGUAUCAAACAGGAUUAGAUACCCUGGUAGUCCACACGGUAAACGAUGAAUACUCGCUGUUUGCGAUAUACUGCAAGCGGCCAAGCGAAAGCGUUAAGUAUUCCACCUGGGGAGUACGCCGGCAACGGUGAAACUCAAAGGAAUUGACGGGGGCCCGCACAAGCGGAGGAACAUGUGGUUUAAUUCGAUGAUACGCGAGGAACCUUACCCGGGCUUAAAUUGCAGAUGAAUUACGGUGAAAGCCGUAAGCCGCAAGGCAUCUGUGAAGGUGCUGCAUGGUUGUCGUCAGCUCGUGCCGUGAGGUGUCGGCUUAAGUGCCAUAACGAGCGCAACCCUUGUUGUCAGUUACUAACAGGUUCCGCUGAGGACUCUGACAAGACUGCCAUCGUAAGAUGUGAGGAAGGUGGGGAUGACGUCAAAUCAGCACGGCCCUUACGUCCGGGGCUACACACGUGUUACAAUGGGGGGUACAGAGGGCCGCUACCACGCGAGUGGAUGCCAAUCCCCAAAACCUCUCUCAGUUCGGACUGGAGUCUGCAACCCGACUCCACGAAGCUGGAUUCGCUAGUAAUCGCGCAUCAGCCACGGCGCGGUGAAUACGUUCCCGGGCCUUGUACACACCGCCCGUCAAGCCAUGGGAGCCGGGGGUACCUGAAGUGCGUAACCGCGAGGAGCGCCCUAGGGUAAAACUGGUGACUGGGGCU